rnacentral:rRNA from 1 species
ACGGCGAGCAUGAUGAUCGCUAGGUAGCAGCGUCGAUAGCAUGUAUCCUGCUCACUGCACUGCAUGAUCUGACAGCUAGAGUCUGAGAAGUGUAGAUCAGCGUAGGAUACUCGUAACGUCGAGCACCGUGCGAUGCGCUCUGACACUCGUGCUAGUCGAACUGAGAGCAGAGAUAAUCGUGUAUCCGCGUCACGAUUCGAUCGAGCUCGUCUGAGCGUCGCUCGACUACGCGUAAUCGACGCAGAGAGUACGCGCAGAUAUCUCAUGACUGACGACCGCACAGCGUGAUCAUGUGUAUAUGCGAUGCACGCGACGAUCUAGCUGUCAUGACAUAGACAUAUCUACAGAGAUGCAGUAGUGCUGCAGUAUGAGACACAGCUGCUGCAUGCGUCAUCAGCUCGCGUCAUGAGAUGUGUGAUUAGUGCCGCGACGAGCGCACUCGUGUCCGUAGCUACAGCUAAUACUGCUGACACUCAAAGAGACUGCUACUGAUAAAGAGGAAGAAGGUGACGACGACGUCAAGUCAUCAUGGCCCUUACGACCACGGCUACACUCGUGCUACAAUGGCGCGUACAGAGAGCAGCAACCUAGCGAGAAUCAGCGAAUCUCAAGUAGCUCGUCGUAGUCCGGAUAGGAGUCUGCAACUCGGCUCCAUGAAGUCGGAAUCGCUAGUAAUCGCACAUCAGAAUGCUGCGAAGAAUUCGUUCCCGGUCCUUGUACACACCGCUCACUCACUCGAGUAGGAGUGGGUCGCACAAGAAGAUAGAUAGCCUAGCUAUGAGACGCGCGCGUAUACCAGUUG